UACGUAGGGUGCGAGCGUUAAUCGGAAUUACUGGGCGUAAAGCGUGCGCAGGCGGUGAUGUAAGACCGAUGUGAAAUCCCCGGGCUUAACCUGGGAACUGCAUUGGUGACUGCAUUGCUCGAGUAUGGCAGAGGGGGGUGGAAUUCCACGUGUAGCAGUGAAAUGCGUAGAGAUGUGGAGGAACACCGAUGGCGAAGGCAGCCCCCUGGGUCGAAGAUUGACGCUCAUGCACGAA
rnacentral:rRNA from 1 species